GCACUAUACAUAGAUCCAACUCUUUGCAGUUCAGGUACUAUGUAGUUUUUAACUAUAUUCUCUACCACAUUCUCUUCCACUGGGAUAAACAUCUGAAUACAAUUCGACUGAAAUAGCUCUUCAUAUCUCUCCAGCAUGCAGAGAGCAAGAAAAGUUGCCCACUACCUACAUAUCCAUCAAGCCAGGAAUGGAUAAUGAAAAUCUAUCUUUACACCAUUAUUCUUGAUUCAUAUUAUAUUCGUGCAUCUUUUCUAUAGGCAUCUGCCCAUGACAAUGCCUGCCCUUAAGGAGUCUGUGUAGGUUCCCUUCUAUGUCUUUCUGAAACAGAGUUCUGACUCAUGACAAGGACAUAAGUAAUUUUAGUAUUGAGUGAAAACAUUACUUUAGGAAUGUAUUUUAAUAACAGGAGGUAUCUAAUAUUAUCUGAUUGCCUAAAUAUCAUAAUAAGAAAGAAAAUUUCACCAUAGCCAGCAUAGCCUACUUUUAUAUGUAAAUAAAAUGACCAAUGCAUUACCCUGAUUCUUCAAUGGUAAUAAAUAAUAUUUUAACAAAUAAUUGUGAAAGACUUGUAGAAUGUUGUAUUCCCUUGAAAUUUUCCAUGUUAUCAUUACAGUUGUGGUAGACUAUUUUGUAAUGACUUUAGACAUUUCAGGAGAAGUUAAUUUUCAAGAAUUAAAAAAAUAGCCAAUUAUCUCAAUCAAAAGGAAAAUUUUUCUAUUUGAUCAACCUCAUUACAAGGGAAACAGACAAACAACAAAAUGUUGAAUAGCAGGCAUAAAACACCUUUAAAAUUCAAUCUUUGUUGUAAACAUGCACAUAUAACACAAUACAACGCACAUGCCCGUGGAGACAUACACACACACAUAUCCAGAGGGGGGAGGGUGGAGAGGGAGAGAGGGACAGAGAGAAAGAGAGAAAAUGCUAAUGUUGCAAAAAGACAAAGGUGAAAGGACCAAAAGAAAAUGUCCCAAGAAUAAUAGAGUAAUAGCAGACCAUAAAAAGAGUAUGGCUUGUUACUGAUAACAAAAUUAAGUAUGUGACUGUUAUAUCACUCUUUUUUUUUUCCAAUUUUUUAUUACAUCAGUUCUAUUCUGGCUUGUAGAAUACAUAUUUAAAUGCUCUUUUUUGAUAUUUAGUCUCAAGUCAGUACUAAAUAUGAAUUUAGUCCUCAUUUGUUUAAAAUGUAAUUUCUUUUUCCAUAAUUGCCUCUGUAACUGCUAUUAUCACAGAGCCUUGUUAAUUCGCAGUAAUGACAAGGAGACAAUUGCUGAAUUUUGAAAACCACUAAACUCUGAGAACAACCAUAAUAAAAGCCUUGGAUAUUUUGGUUGAAGAUGUACUUUGUUCGUUUAUUUUGACAACUUUUGCUUCACUUUAAUUAUUCUGAUUAUACUCAUACUAGUCAAUAUCCACAAUGCUCCCCAUAAAUUCAUUAUUUUCUCUAUGUAAAUAUAUUCCCUCUAUCAUCUUGAAUUAGUAAAGUAUUAUAGUUUAUAAAUUAAACUUUGCUUUAAAUGUAAUCUAUCUCUUGCUGGAUACUAUAGAUGUUAAUAUUGGUGUUUUAGGUUGGAAUUACCAUCUCAUUCUAUUAUGUCUGGCUGUUAUUCUGCACAAGUCCAAGUCCUCAACCCCUUGAACAAUCUUGAAAUUAAUAUCUAUCAACUGUGAUGGGGAAAUAAUUUUAAAGUACAAAAUUAGAGUAAAAAUUGUAAUUAGACCUGAGCCAAGUUACGUGCAAUUCCUUUUUAGAGCUUCUGAAUAUUUAGCCACUUUCUGAAUUUUUAACCUAUUUUCUGGGAGUGGUUCUUAUUCCAGGACACCUACUUAUAUUCACAAUGCUACUGUAUAGGUUUAAAACAGCAUAGUACAAGCUGUUAUACCUGAAAUAAGCUCAAGAUUUUUAUUUCUGAUUCUGAAAGCACAAUUAAGUAUUUGGCAGGACUUCAUUCUCUUCCCAAGUGGCUGUACACUUGGUGAGUACAUGGUUUAGAUCUUAAUUUAACUCUUUGAUCUCUAUGUGCCUUUCACACAUUCCCCAGUACUGAAGUUAUACAUUCUCUCUUGUUCAGUGAGGCAUAGAAUAUCAUGUGUCUUAUAUAAAUUAACUUAUUCAUUCAAUUAUGAUUUGCUCAAUG
rnacentral:lncRNA from 1 species